rnacentral:SRP_RNA from 1 species
CGGUGGGUCUCAGGCGGGGGGCUAGGGGUCCCCUGAACCAUAAACCCUCUACAGGAUGGGCCAAAAUCCAAGACGAGGCGCCAAAGAUCGUUAAGUCCCUCAGCCUUCUGACCAUGAAUAUCCGUCCCUUACGGCUGGCGGUCACAGAGCAGCCUUCGUAAGGAGGCUGUCAACUGCGUUGACCAGGCGAACCUGGCCAGGCCCGGGAGGGAGCAACCUAAACUUGGACGUGCAGCGCUUAAGGGGUUGCGGGUACGAGUAAAGAGAUUGAAGAGGCUUUGCGAAAACUGGGCGUCGACUCUUGGCGACCCAUCG